CACGGCUUGUCUCCACGGGAGCCUUCGGCCGCAGCUCGCGCACACGUGCGCGCGGACGCCUGGCGCGCUGCCGUGAGCGCGUGGCGUACGGCGAGAGCAGUCGCGUGGGCCGCUUGGAAGGGCUGGCGGAGGCGCUUUCCUGCGCCGCGAGGCUUGCUUCAAACUUGCCGAAUAAUAUAAAAAAAUGUCUUAAUCCAUUUCUGAAAAGAAAUGCCCCAGCGACAAAUUUUAAGGCUAGGAAGUGCUCAGGUUGGAGUAGUUACAAAUCUUGGAUGGGCAGCAUACUACAGUGCAGUAACGGCUUGUGACCAGAGAAACAGCUUAGUCUUUUCUGGCCCUGGUGCAGACCACGAUUGCCAAUAGCAGGAUACCACAUGCCGGGUAUGUGAUUGGCAGCACCGUAAGUCUGAAGCUGUUUUGCUUGUGCCAUACAAAACCGCCCUCCGUGUCUGACCCCAGGCCAGGACCAUCGUGUUCCUGCUCCCCGAGAAGGGCCUGCAAACAAGGUCGUCCCAAAUUCAUUACAGUUUUCUUCCUGGCUCCAAUUAUGUUAUGUGAAAUAAUAAUAAUAAUCUGAGUAGAGUGGAGAUACGGAAGAGUAUCCGUCUUUUUUCAAUUUCCCUGAGCCACAGCAGCUCAAAUCUAUUAUUCAAAACAACACCUAAGUGUUUUCAUAAAAUGCUCCUCCUUCUCACCUCCCGCUUAUGCUCAGCAACACAGCCUCACCUGCAGCACAGACCAAGCAAAGGAAACACAUCUUACUUCGACUGGCGUUACCCUCAAGUAUCUGAUGACGGCAGAUUCCAGGGCUUGGUUUUUGGACGAAUAUCUGAGCUGCUUAUUUAGGGCCACCUUAGCCUUGCUGACACGUGAAGGAAGCUGUGGGCCCCUCUGGCAGUUCAAUGCACAGGGGCAGCACUAUACCAUGUGUGUGAUGUUGGCCGUUGGUCCUUCCCUUAGUUGCAGGAGGACAAGCUCUUGUGUGUAAUACCCGUGUUGCUGUAGAAUAGUUUUCCGUAUUUGUUUUGCUCAUGAUUGGAAGAAGAUCGCUUGUACCCCUCCUGAGAUGCAGAACUAGGACGCGACAGAACUCUGAUGCCUUGGUGCCAAUGCUUCCAGUCAAGGUUGUCCUGUUUGCCAUGAUUGGCGUGGGAGAGAAUUUUCUCAAAGCAUUCAGAGAUCCAGUGCUACAAGAAAGGUACUGGCAGGAAAACGUAUAAAAGUAUAAAGAGACUCUGGACUUUUUAACUAAAGCAUUCAUAAAUACUGGACAAGGGAAGGUCACCAGAGGACGAAGGCACAUUUACAGCUAUAAAGCUGAAGUUCAAAAGUUUUUCAUGUGUCAUCAACAGGGCAUUUUGUGACCUCAUGCUCAUUGUGUAUCCUUCUCUAUGCACAAAAUACAUCAAUGUGAUCAGAAACAAACUGUUCUCCUUUUGACUAUUAAACCUAUCAUUUGUAGCAUUCUGUGAAUAA